GAUGAACGCUGGCGGCGUGCCUAAUACAUGCAAGUCGAGCGAACGGACGAGAAGCUUGCUUCUCUGAUGUUAGCGGCGGACGGGUGAGUAACACGUGGAUAACCUACCUAUAAGACUGGGAUAACUUCGGGAAACCGGAGCUAAUACCGGAUAAUAUUUUGAACCGCAUGGUUCAAAAGUGAAAGACGGUCUUGCUGUCACUUAUAGAUGGAUCCGCGCUGCAUUGGCUAGUUGGUAAGGUAACGGCUUACCAAGGCAACGAUGCAUAGCCGACCUGAGAGGGUGAUCGGCCACACUGGAACUGAGACACGGUCCAGACUCCUACGGGAGGCAGCAGUAGGGAAUCUUCCGCAAUGGGCGAAAGCCUGACGGAGCAACGCCGCGUGAGUGAUGAAGGUCUUCGGAUCGUAAAACUCUGUUAUUAGGGAAAAACAUAUGUGUAAGUAACUGUGCACAUCUUGACGGUACCUAAUCAGAAAGCCACGGCUAACUACGUGCCAGCAGCCGCGGUAAUACGUAGGUGGCAAGCGUUAUCCGGAAUUAUUGGGCGUAAAGCGCGCGUAGGCGGUUUUUUAAGUCUGAUGUGAAAGCCCACGGCUCAACCGUGGAGGGUCAUUGGAAACUGGAAAACUUGAGUGCAGAAGAGGAAAGUGGAAUUCCAUGUGUAGCGGUGAAAUGCGCAGAGAUAUGGAGGAACACCAGUGGCGAAGGCGACUUUCUGGUCUGUAACUGACGCUGAUGUGCGAAAGCGUGGGGAUCAAACAGGAUUAGAUACCCUGGUAGUCCACGCCGUAAACGAUGAGUGCUAAGUGUUAGGGGGUUUCCGCCCCUUAGUGCUGCAGCUAACGCAUUAAGCACUCCGCCUGGGGAGUACGACCGCAAGGUUGAAACUCAAAGGAAUUGACGGGGACCCGCACAAGCGGUGGAGCAUGUGGUUUAAUUCGAAGCAACGCGAAGAACCUUACCAAAUCUUGACAUCCUUUGACAACUCUAGAGAUAGAGCUUUCCCCUUCGGGGGACAAAGUGACAGGUGGUGCAUGGUUGUCGUCAGCUCGUGUCGUGAGAUGUUGGGUUAAGUCCCGCAACGAGCGCAACCCUUAAGCUUAGUUGCCAUCAUUAAGUUGGGCACUCUAAGUUGACUGCCGGUGACAAACCGGAGGAAGGUGGGGAUGACGUCAAAUCAUCAUGCCCCUUAUGAUUUGGGCUACACACGUGCUACAAUGGACAAUACAAAGGGCAGCGAAACCGCGAGGUCAAGCAAAUCCCAUAAAGUUGUUCUCAGUUCGGAUUGUAGUCUGCAACUCGACUACAUGAAGCUGGAAUCGCUAGUAAUCGUAGAUCAGCAUGCUACGGUGAAUACGUUCCCGGGUCU
rnacentral:rRNA from 1 species